AAAGUAAAAGUAAUCGUUGCUGAAACUGUUCACAUUUAAAGAAUCACCGAAACCGAAAUGUAAUUAAUUACAAUAACAUAUAAAGAGGUUCGAGAGGUUUUUUAACUGCGAGUUUUUUAAUUCGUGAAAUGAAUCUAUUGACUAUAAAUGAUAUGGUGUCGUUUUUUUUUAUCUGUCUCAAGAAUAAAAAAGUGGGCUGCCUAAGAUCGUGAUGCGCGUUCGAGAGCUCGUCAUCUUUGUCUCCGUUAAAAAACAGGGAAAAAACAGGGAAGUAAAACGCGAUACAUCGCGGAAGGAUAUUUGCGACAUGAUCAAUCGUUACAUCACGCCGGUGCAACGUGAACCGAUGUGUAUCGACAUGCCAUCCGUCACGUCGCUACAUCGCGUGCACGCCGGAUUUGCCGGACAUCGAUACUUGACGCUCGCAUUUAUCCGCUCUCACGCCAGAAGAUCACCGGUGCAACCCGAGACAUCCCAUGUUUAACUAUACCAUGCGAGCUGUCCACCUCGAUUAUCCUCGCGUGUCUCUACCCUCGCGAGGAUAUGCACGUGUCUCUCCUCGGGAUGACAGCCCCGCGCAUUGAGAGCCGUGUAAUCGAAUUUAGCGCGAGAUUGCAAACGAGUGUCAAAUGGAAGCUGUUCUUUCUCAUCGUGAAGUUAACGUUU